GACGAACGCUGGCGGCGUGCUUAACACAUGCAAGUCGAACGGAAAGGCCCUGCUUUUGUGGGGUGCUCGAGUGGCGAACGGGUGAGUAACACGUGAGUAACCUGCCCUUGACUUUGGGAUAACUUCAGGAAACUGGGGCUAAUACCGGAUAGGAGCUCCUGCUGCAUGGUGGGGGUUGGAAAGUUUCGGCGGUUGGGGAUGGACUCGCGGCUUAUCAGCUUGUUGGUGGGGUAGUGGCUUACCAAGGCUUUGACGGGUAGCCGGCCUGAGAGGGUGACCGGCCAGAUUGGGACUGAGAUACGGCACAGACUCCUACGGGAGGCAGCAGUGGGGAAUAUUGCACAAUGGGCGGAAGCCUGAGGCAGCAACGCCGCGUGCGGGAUGACGGCCUUCGGGUUGUAAACCGCUUUCGCCUGUGACGAAGCGUGAGUGACGGUAAUGGGUAAAGAAGCACCGGCUAACUACGUG
rnacentral:rRNA from 1 species